rnacentral:lncRNA from 1 species
AAGAAAAAACAAAUUUAAUUGAUCUCAACUAAUUUGUCUAGGUCUCUUCAUCUUGGCAGUGGUGCUCCCACUCAUAUUAAUGGAUCUAUACUGAACUUCCAUUUGCAUGGAUACCACCUGUACGGCUUGGACAUGCCAUGCAGAGGGGCAUAUGUCUGUUUAAUUAAUGAGAUCAUGCCAAUUCAGUAUUAUGGUCUAGUAGUAUUUUUCUUUACUUGUAUUAUGGUUUAGUGGUAUUCUUUGCUCACUUUCUGAUUUAGCUCAAUAAAAAAAUGUCACGUAUUCUUUAUUUUUUAAAAUCAAGAAAAAUUAAAUAACAUAAAUUUUCAUUAUUUUUUAAAACAAUAAAACAAGUGUUAAAAUAUUAUUGGACAAAAUAGAAAUUGAGUAUUCAUUAGUAAGUACUUAAGUAUUAUCCCAAAUACAAUAGAGAAAAAACAUUUGGAGGAGUUAUUAAUUAUUUUAGCUUUCCACUACCAUUUGAAGAUUCUCUAUUCAUUGAAUUUUUUUUUCAAAAAAAAUAUGAUUUUACGAUUGUUGGGGACCUUUUCAUCGAGUUGGAUUUGGACUUCGAUGGAAACUCUCAGCUCUCUGGUUCUUUUUUUACAUCAAGUUCUAAAAUACUUUGAAAGAAUUAGCACGUCUUUGGAAUCGUUCCAAAUGAAUCAAUUGUUAGAUUAAAUGUAGAAUUAUGGAGAAUAAUCCGAAUAAUGACUUUGAGGUACGACUUGAAUCGUUUCCUUAAAGUGUUAUUUGCCCCCACUCGAAUGAGUUUGCUAAAAGGUUCUUGGCAAAUCACUUCCAGGAUAUAACAAAGUAUGGAAUAUUAGAUUAGCAAAACCGAAUUAUAUUCCCUUAGAAAUAACUAGAAAGAAAUUGUAUGAAUGUGAUGAAGAGAGAAAAGAGAGCAAAGAAAUUAUGUAGACAACAAAUUUCUGAAUGAUUCUUUUCUACUAAUGUCACCACUAUAUAUAGAGAGAAUUACACCCUUUAGACACAUCAUUUGAUUUGAGUAUGUCUUUUCACCAUGGGAUACAACACAUUGCAUCAUUAUGUCCAAUGGACAUAUCUAAUACAAACACCAAUUACCCAAAUAUCAUAUAUGUUGUAAAACAUGCAGCAACCGUUGGGUAUUAGCAAAAGGUUACAAUGCUAAUUUGAAAAGAUAUAAUUGUUGGGUCAAUGACCCAACUUCCCGUCAAACAUCCCCAUAUAUAUAUAUAUAUAUAUUAUUAUAUAUAUAAUAUAUUAUUAUAUAUAUAUUUUUAAAAUAUUCAACAAUCCUUCCCUAUUUGAAAAAUAUAUAGAAAAUGAUAUUACAACUCUCUUUAUAAUUAUCACAAGCAUACCGAUAUAAUCAUGCAUACAAUAAAGGUGUCUUUCGAAUUAAACCUUUAAUUAGUGUAAAUAAUUCAAAGUUAUAACGAAUGCGAUGGUGACCUAAGUUUAAACCACCUAUUCUUAUGUUAAAACCGGAAUCACUACACACAUGAUUAUGUCUUAUUUCUUUAAAGAAAUUCUUGAACCAAUUAAGCACUAUUAUGGCCUUGUGCUUCAUCCUGGUUUCAUAAACAUUUACAAGAGAAAACCCAACUCUUGGCAGAAGCGGCACCACUUCUUAUGUUUAUAUAGGUGAGGUUCAUUCCCAUGUCCCUUAGACAUAACUACAAAUAACCUCAUUAAGAGUUAAAACUCAUCCUCCUAAACGUAGCAGUCUUGCACUGAUCAUCCUGGAAUGAGCUAUAUAAUAAUUUCCAGUGCUUACACAACCACUUAACAAUAACUUGUUAUUACCCAUUAAACUUUUAAACUAGUGAUGUUCUAGACAAAGUCGGGUUACCAUUAUUGGUGGCUAAUUUUCAAUAAAGGGUUUUAGCCCCAUUCCACUAGAUGUACUAACUACCAAAGAUCUUGAAAGUGCUUUCGUUAAUGGAUCCGCCAAGUUAUUACUUGAUUUAACAUAAACAAUAUUAAUAACUCCAUCAGUUAUUAAUUGCUUGACAUAUUCAUGUCUCAAGCUAAUAUGUCUAGAUUUUCCAUUGUAUACCUUAUUGUAUGCUCUAGACAAAGUAGCCUCACUAUCACAGUAUAAAGAAAUGGAUGGCAUUGGUUGUGGCCACAACUCUAUUUCCAAUAACAAAUUUCUAAUCCAUUCCGCUUCUUUACCUGCUGAUGCUAAUGCUAUAAAUUCAGAUUCCAUAGUUGAAUGUGCUAUACAUGUUUGCUUCUUCGAAGCCCAAGAAAUUGCUCCUCCGGCAAUUGUAAAAAUCCACCCUGAUGUAGACUUAUUAUCAUUAGCACUUGUUAUCCAACUUGCAUCUGAAUAUCCUUCAAGUACUGCUGGAAACUCAGAGUAAGUUAAACUCAGGUUAAUAGUUCUUUUAAGAUAACCAAAAAUUCUAUUUAUUGCUUUCCAAUGAGUAGUACCUGGAUGACUAGUGUAUCUAAAGUUUGCUUACUGCAAAUGCAAUAUCUGGCCUGGUACAAUGCCUGGCAUACAUUAAACUUCCGAUUACACUAGCAUACUCAAGCUGUGCAACAGACCUACCAGAAUUAUUAAGCAAAGUUUCACUAUGAUCAUAAGGGGUAUUUGCUUCUUUUAUUUGUAGAUGCUUAAACUUAAGAAGCAAUUUUUCUAUAUAAUGUGACUGACACAAAGCGUAGCCCCCACUAUGCUUCUUUACUUUAAUUCCCAAGAUAGUAUCUACUUCAUUCAAAUCCUUCAUCUUGAAUUUUGAAUUUAGAUACUGUUUAGUUUCAGAUACACCUUUCAUGUUUGUACCAAAAAUUAGCAAGUCGUCGACAUAUAAACAUAUAACAACACCAUAAUCAUUUGUGAAUUUAGAGUAUAUGCAUUUAUCAGCACUGUUAUGUUUAAAUUCAUAUGAUAAAAUGACAAAAUCAAACUUUUCAUGCCAUUGUUUUGGUGCUUGCUUCAAUCCAUAUAAUGACUUUACUAAUUUACAAACCUUAUUUUCAUUCCCAGGGAGAACAAACCCUUCUGGUUGUUCCAUAUAGACUUCUUCAUCUAAAUCACCAUUUAAAAAUGCUGUUUUCACAUCCAUUUGAUGCACAUGCAAAUUAUAUAAAGAUGCCAAUGCAAACAAUAUUCUAAUUGAUGUGAGCCUAGCUACUGGUGCAUAUGUAUCGAAAUAGUCUAUUCCUUUUUUCUGCUUAAAACCUUUGGAAACUAGCCUGGCUUUAAAUGUCUGAAUAGACCCGUUUGUAUUGUAUUUUCUUUUAAAUACCCACUUACAACCUAUUGCUUUUGAUCCUUGGGGCAAGUCUACUAAAACACAUGUCUGAUUAGAUAUUAAUGAUUCAAAUUCAUCAUCUAUAGCCACUUUCCAAAAAGCUGCAUCUUUUGAAGUCAAUGUUUCGCUUAGACUUUUAGGAUCAUCCUCAACAUUCAACAAUAUGGGUAUUUUCUUAAGAACCUUUGUUCUAUUUCCUUCAACUAAAAAUACAAUAGAUUGAGAUGAAAUAAAAUCAGAGCCUAGAGUCUUUUCUUUUCUUACCCUUUGGCUUUUCCUUGGUUCAUUAACAGUUUCAGACUGUUUUCUUUUCUCACCUUGAGAUUGACUAGUAGACGGAUUAGAGAAAUGUGUUUGAUUAUUCUCUUUUCCAGACACUGAGUAGUCAUUAUAGAAUUUAUUUUCUAUAAAUUCGACAUCUCUAGACUCAACUAUUGUGUUUGAGUCUAAAUUAAGCAACCUAUAUGCCCUUGAAUUUUCUGCAUAACCUACAAAUAUGCUUUUAAUUCCUCUUGGACCCAACUUGGAUCUCUUAGGAUCGAGUGCCUUAUAAAAAGCUACACAACCCCAUACUCUCAAAUAUGACAAAUUUGGUUUUCUUCCUUUCCAAAUUUCAUAUGGUGACACAUGUGUCUUCAUAGAUGUAAUUCUAUUGUGUAUAUGGCAUGCAGUAAACAAUGCUUCACCCCAUAAAUAUUUUGGAGUAUUAGCAUUAAUAAUCAUAGAAUUAAUCAUUUCAGUGAGUGUUCUAUUUUUCUUUCUGCCAAACCAUUUUGUUGUGGUGUAUAGGGUGCAGUUCUUUGAUGUACAACACCAUGCUCUUCACAAAAAAUAUCAAAUUCAUGUGAAAAAUAUUCACCACCUCUAUCACUACGAAGGCAUUUAAUUUUCCUUCCCUUUUGGUUUUCAACUUCAGCCUUAUAGCGCUUAAAGCACUCAAAAGCUUUAUCUUUAUUAGACAAUAAAUAAACAUAAGUAAAUUUAGAACAAUCAUCUAUAAAUGUGAUAAAAUAUCUUUUUCCUCCUCUUGUUAAAACACCAUUAAAUUCACAUAUGUCAGGAUGUAUUAAGUCUAAUAAAUUUGUAUUUCUUUCGGUAGUUGGAAAAGGUUUCUUAGUCAUUUUCGCUUGAAUACAUGUUUCACAUUUAUCAUUAUAAUCAUCAUUGCAAGUAAUAAAACCAAGUGUGCGCAUGUAUUUUAAAGAUCUAAAAUUUCUAUGUGCUAAACGUAAAUGCCAUAAAUGAGAGGAAGAUUCAACAAUAUAAACAGAAGAAUUCAUUUUAUUAUUGAUACUUAGUUUGAACAUCCCAUCACAAGAAUAUCCCUUCCCAACAAACAUCCCAUUUUUCGACAUUAUUAACUUGUCGGACUCUAGAACAGUCUUUAUACCGUUCGUACAUAAUAAAUUUGCAGACACAAAAUUCUUUCUAAUUUCUGGAACAUGCAGUACAUUAAGCAACGUCAAUUUCUUCCCAGAAGUAAAUUGAAGUUCAACGGUUCCCUUUCCUAGAACUUUGGCGGAAUUAUGAUUCCCCAUUAAAACUUCUUGAUUGUCCGUUGAUGCUUCAUAUGUCUUGAAUUGUGUCUUGUCAUUGCACACAUGUAUAGUAGCCCCUGAGUCGAGCCACCAAUCGGAGGAUUUUAUUACCGCUGUCAUAUUCAGUUCGGUAAUCAUGCCAAUAUGCAUCAUUGAUACCAUUGCAACAAUGUUAUCAAUUCCAGAGUUUUCCACCAUAUUUGCGCUAUUGAUCUUAUUGGCAUAUUCCUCACUUGCUUUUCUGUGUCUACAAUCACGAAUGUAAUGGCCUUUCUUUCCACAAUGGUAACAUACACCAUUUGCAUUCUUUUGAUUGUUGUUGGAAUUGGUCUUCUUAAACUUCCCUUUGUCAAUUUUGACUUUGAAGUUCUUUUUAUAUUUGUUUCCUUCGACAAUGUGAAUUUUAGAGAAAUCUUGAUUUGCAAAAUUCUUAUCACGAUUUCGAGUUUCCUCUUCAAUUUGAAUACCCUUUUGCAAAUUCUCCAAACUAAUAUCUUCCACCAUGUGUAGAAGUUUCUUUCUAUAGUUAUUCCAUGUUUGGGGUAAUUUUGCCAUAAUAGCCCCAACUAUCAUAGGAUCUGGAAUAACUAUUUUAAGUUCACGAAGCUUGGAGACCAAGACUAAUAAUUCAUGAACUUGGUCUAGGAUGGGUUUGUUAUCAAACAUAGUGAAUUCAUAAUAUUUGAACAUUAAAAAUUUAUCGGUACCUCUUUUUUCCAUUGUGUACUUGUGUUCAAGUGCUUCCUAAAUUUCCUUUGGAGAUUGAAUGUGUGCAUACAGGUCAUAUAAACGAUAAGAUAAUGUGCCCAAGAUAUGUCAUCGACAUACCAAUUCAUCUUCUUCACGCUUCUUUCGAUCGGCAACUAUAUUGUCCGAGUCUUUGUCACUUGGUUCACGAAUAGGCUCCAAUUUCGGGUCCAACACAUAUAUGACAUUUAGAACAGUAAGCAUGAAACGCAUCUUGUCCUUCCAUCGGGUGAAAUUUGAUCCAUCAAAUUUGUCUAACUUGUAGACAUCUUGAUUGAUAAUCUUCAAAGCCAUGUUAUCAGAUUUGUUAUCCAUAACGAAAAUAACACUUUAAGAUUGUUAGAUUAAAUGUAGAAUUAUGGAGAAUAAUCCGAAUAAUGACUUUGAGGUACGACUUGAAUCGUUUCCUUAAAGUGUUAUUUGCCCCCACUCGAAUGAGUUUGCUAAAGGGUUCUUGGCAAAUCACUUCCAGGAUACAACAAAGUAUGAAAUAUUCGAUUAGCAAAACCGAAUUAUAUUCCCUUAGAAAUAACUAGAAAGAAAUUGUAUGAAUGUGAUGAAGAGAGAAAAGAGAGCAAAGAAAUUAUGUAGACAACAAAUUUCUGAAUGAUUCUUUUCUACUAAUGUCACCACUAUAUAUAGAGAGAAUUACACCCUUUAGACACAUCAUUUGAUUUGAGUAUGUCUUUUCACCAUGGGAUACAACACAUUGCAUCAUUAUGUCCAAUGGACAUAUCUAAUACAAACACCAAUUACCCAAAUAUCAUAUAUGUUGUAAAACAUGCAGUAACCGUUGGGUAUUGGCAAAAGGUUACAAUGCUAAUUUGAAAAGAUAUAAUUGUUGGGUCAAUGACCCAACUUCCCGUCAAACAUCCCCAUAUAUAUAUAUAUAUAUAUAUAUAUAUAUAUAUAUAUUAUUAUAUAUAUAUUUUUAAAAUAUUCAACAUCAAUGACUCUUGUUUAACAAUGAUUAAAUGAUUACAAUAAAUUGUGACUUGCCUGAGUAAAGCAUGGAGUGAAAGCUAAAAGUUCACUGGUUUAGUGUGAGAGAGAGCCUGUGCUUGCUUGCAUGAUUUAAGGAUGACUAAUCUAGGGUUUCUCAUAAAUUCACAAUUUUACAAGACUAAGGAAGCUUAAGGGAAGACUCAUAAUAAAAGGAAACCGUAUCCCUCAAGAACUAGGGUUUCCUGACUUGGAGGAAGCUAGCUCUACUUGAUGUGUUUUUAUCCUGGUUUAUUCCUUCCUUUCAUCGUUGUCCUCUUUCAUCGUACUGACUUCUCUUGUUUAUAGGUGCACAGAUUCCUUCAAGUUCCAGUUAGGGGAAUCCCUUGGUUUCCUCCCUUUUCCCUAUUUUGCUAAGUCUCUUUCCCUUUCCAUGGUUACAACUACAAAGUUCUUCUUGGGUAUAACACCGCAGAGGGUUGCUAGCCUCGUGAAGCCUUGGUUGAACACACUGCCCAGAGUUCCUCCUUUUCUGCACCAAAUCCCACAUCAAGACUCCAUCUUUGGCAACGCUCCUAUCUAUUUUAUCUCUCAAUUUCCUGUAUGUGCUUGGAAGGGAAAGGCUAUUUCUCUACUCAUUAAAGAGGCAUGCGACUCUAGGUCAAAACGUGAUCUCGUUUUGGGUUCGAACUGGUCAGCUCUGGGUUUUGGUUGUUUCCCAAGUGUCUUAGGUUCUCUCUCAAACUUUCCCAUAUGAAAUUAAAAUCAUGGACUUGGAUUUUUGGUGCUUCCAAGUAGUCCAAAAUCUUCCACAAUCCUAAUUUUACGUAGACCUAAUAAACUUUCGUAACCAUCCACACCAUGAUGGCAAGCUCCGUUAUGUGGCUUGGGCCCACUCAAGCAUGUAGCAUGAUUGGUAGUAUUUAUAUAACGUUAAUAGCAUGGGUUGGCAUGAUAUAUAAAUGGGAUACUUUGGAUGCGGUCUCUAAUCCUUAACAUUCUUUGAUUCAAACCUUAAUGAUAUUCAAAGUUUGAUCAAAGUCCCUUGACUUUGUACACCUCAUUAUAUUACUAUUAAUAUUUAUAGUUUUAUAGUUUUGACAUUAAUUGUUUGAUAUUUUAUGAGAUUUAUAAUCCUAUAAAUUUAAAAUCCCUCAUUAUAAUACUAUUAGAAACGGUUACAAUAAAAGAAUUCAAACAUUUUGAUUGAAUAAAUGGAUAAAAACUAUGUAAAAAUAAGAAAUAAUAAAUGGCAAAAGAAUGAAUCCAUAGUGUUAAAAAAAUUGGUACAUUUUACAAAACAAUUGGUA